rnacentral:rRNA from 1 species
UACAUGGGGUGCAAACGUUGCUCGGAAUCAUUGGGCGUAAAGCGCGCGUAGGCGGUUACUUAAGUCGAAUGUGAAAGCCCUCGGCUUAACUGAGGAAGUGCAUCCGAAACUGAGUAGCUAGAGUACGAAAGAGGGUCGCGGAAUUCCCGGUGUAGAGGUGAAAUUCGUAGAUAUCGGGAGGAACACCGGUGGCGAAGGCGGCGACCUGGGUCGAGACUGACGCUGAGGCGCGACAGCGUGGGGAGCAAACAGG